UACGGGGGGGGGUAAGCGUUGUUCGGAAUUACUGGGCGUAAAGGGCGCGUAGGCGGCCUCCUAAGUCAGACGUGAAAUCCCCCGGCUUUAACCUGGGAACUGCGUCUGAUACUGGGAGGCUAGAGUGCGGGAGAGGGAUGCGGAAUUCCAGGUGUGCGGUGAAAUGCGUAGAUAUCUGGAGGAACACCGGUGGCGAAGGCGGCAUCCUGGACCGACACUGACGCUGAGGCGCGAAAGCUAGGGUAGCAAACGGG
rnacentral:rRNA from 1 species